UGGGGAAUAUUGGACAAUGGGCGCAAGCCUGAUCCAGCAAUUCCGCGUGGGUGAAGAAGGUCUUCGGAUUGUAAAGCCCUUUCGACAGGGACGAUGAUGACGGUACCUGUAGAAGAAGCCCCGGCUAACUUCGUGCCAGCAGCCGCGGUAAUACGAAGGGGGCUAGCGUUGCUCGGAAUUACUGGGCGUAAAGGGCGCGUAGGCGGCGCAUUUAGUCAGGCGUGAAAUUCUUGGGCUUAACCUGGGGACUGCGCUUGAUACGGGCGUGCUUGAGGACGGAAGAGGCUCGCGGAAUUCCCAGUGUAGAGGUGAAAUUCGUAGAUAUUGGGAAGAACACCGGUGGCGAAGGCGGCGAGCUGGUCCGUAUCUGACGCUGAGGCGCGACAGCGUGGGGAGCAAAC
rnacentral:rRNA from 1 species